rnacentral:rRNA from 1 species
CAGCAGUCGCCGCGGUAAUACGAAGGGUGCAAGCGUUAAUCGGAAUUACUGGGCGUAAAGCGUGCGUAGGCGGUGAGUUAAGUCUGCUGUGAAAUCCCCGGGCUCAACCUGGGAAUGGCAGUGGAUACUGGCUCGCUAGAGUGUGUCAGAGGAUGGUGGAAUUUCCGGUGUAGCUGUGAAAUGCGUAGAGAUCGGAAGGAACAUCUGUGGCGAAGGCGACUAUCUGGGCCAACACUGACACUGAGGCACGAAAGCGUGGGGAGCAAACAGGAUUAGAUACCCCGGUAGUCCCUGUCUCUUAUAC